AAGCUCACUUUCACAGCACAUAUACUAAAAUUGGAACAUAACACAGAUUAGCGUGGCCCCUGUGUAAGGAUGACUCGAAAAUUCGUGAAGCGUUGGGGGAGGGA
ensembl:snRNA U6 U6 spliceosomal RNA